CCCCUCUCAGGAUGGCCCCUGAAGAAUUUCCAGUCCUCUACCAGUCUCGAUUACAGGAGGGAGAGUCAAGCAGAGGCCUACCCAUUCCAUUCCUAGCUUGGGCAGAGGCUAGCGAGUGGAAGGCAAUCUGCGAAAAGU